CCUACGGGAGGCAGCAGUGAGGAAUAUUGGUCAAUGGGCGCGAGCCUGAACCAGCCAAGCAGCGUGAAGGAUGACUGCCCUACGGGUUGUAAACUUCUUUUAUAAGGGAAUAAAGUGAGGCACGUGUGCCUUUUUGUAUGUACUUUAUGAAUAAGGAUCGGCUAACUCCGUGCCAGCAGCCGCGGUAAUACGGAGGAUCCGAGCGUUAUCCGGAUUUAUUGGGUUUAAAGGGAGCGUAGAUGGUUUGUUAAGUCAGUUGUGAAAGUGUGCGGCUCAACCGUAAAAUUGCAAUUGAUACUGGCAGUCUAGAGUACAGUUGAGGUAGGCGGAAUGCGUGGUGUAGCGGUGAAAUGCUUAGAUAUCACGAAGAACUCCGAUUGCGAAGGCAGCUUACUAAACUGCCACUGACGUUGAUGCUCGAAAGUGUGGGUAUCAAACAGGAUUAGAUACCCCGGUAGUC
rnacentral:rRNA from 1 species